rnacentral:rRNA from 1 species
AUGUACAUGCCUACAACAUAGCGUUAAUGCACCAAAUCCCAUUAGAACUCCGCAGUUAAGUGCGCUCUGGCUAGAGUAGUAUUGGGAUGGGUGACUGCUCGGAAAGUCCUAGUAUUUUACAUG